CUUUAAGUAUUCAGUAGAAUAUACUUAUGAAUCAAUUUGACCCUGUUUUUUUUCCCUCUUAGGAAAUUCAUUGAGUGCUUGUUCAAUAUCUUUCUCUGAGGAAAGACUGUGAAAAACUGGAGAAUAUUCAGAGAAGAGAAACUAAGUGGAAGAUCAAAGAAAAAAUAAUUGAAGCAACUAGAAAGAAAUCAUUCAUAUACCAUGGAGCCACAGUCAAGUUUACAAAAAGUGUAACAACUAUCAUGUUAAAGGAAUAUGUAAUGUGAUAUUGUUGAAGGAAAACAAGACGACCAAUAUAUAAAGCUACAAAAUCAUGCCAGAAUACAAGACCCAAUCAAAAUGGAAAACAGACCAAGAGAUUUUAAUGUAAACAGAGUAAAUAAAACUCAUUAAUAUGG
rnacentral:lncRNA from 1 species